UUUUUUNNCCCCCGUCAGGACGNACGCUGGCGGCGUGCCUAAUACAUGCAAGUCGAACGCUUUUUCUUUCACCGGAGCUUGCUCCACCGAAAGAAAAAGAGUGGCGAACGGGUGAGUAACACGUGGGUAACCUGCCCAUCAGAAGGGGAUAACACUUGGAAACAGGUGCUAAUACCGUAUAACACUAUUUUCCGCAUGGAAGAAAGUUGAAAGGCGCUUUUGCGUCACUGAUGGAUGGACCCGCGGUGCAUUAGCUAGUUGGUGAGGUAACGGCUCACCAAGGCAACGAUGCAUAGCCGACCUGAGAGGGUGAUCGGCCACACUGGGACUGAGACACGGCCCAGACUCCUACGGGAGGCAGCAGUAGGGAAUCUUCGGCAAUGGACGAAAGUCUGACCGAGCAACGCCGCGUGAGUGAAGAAGGUUUUCGGAUCGUAAAACUCUGUUGUUAGAGAAGAACAAGGAUGAGAGUAAAAUGUUCAUCCCUUGACGGUAUCUAACCAGAAAGCCACGGCUAACUACGUGCCAGCAGCCGCGGUAAUACGUAGGUGGCAAGCGUUGUCCGGAUUUAUUGGGCGUAAAGCGAGCGCAGGCGGUUUCUUAAGUCUGAUGUGAAAGCCCCCGGCUCAACCGGGGAGGGUCAUUGGAAACUGGGAGACUUGAGUGCAGAAGAGGAGA
rnacentral:rRNA from 1 species